rnacentral:misc_RNA from 1 species
UGGAGAAAGAGUAGGUCUACAACAGUUAGACUUGUUACCUGCUGGAGUCUCUCUUCCUCUGCGAGAUGCAUUGGAUAAAUGCCGUGAUUCUCCUCCAAUAGAUUGGCCUGCUGCUGCAUAUGUUCUUCUUGGUCGGGAGGAUUUGGCUUUCUCACGCUUAGCAUAUUCAAGAAAAUCUGUGGAGCUUGAGCCCCAUAUGAAUGUAAAUAUGACAUGUAUGUCCGCUCCUUACAUGUUGAACCUCCAUCCGGUGACAAUUCCUUCCUCAAUAUCUGACACAGUACAGUCAGAGGAUAACAAGCUAGAGGAUGUAGAUUCUGUUGAGGGAUAUGUGGCUGAUGGUAUG